rnacentral:rRNA from 1 species
CGUAUAUUAAAGUUGUUGCAGUUAAAAAGCUCGUAGUUGGAUUUCUGGUGUGAGCGUCUUGCCGGCCCAAACGGGUCUGUGCAGGCACGCCUCUCGCCAUCCUUGCGUCUAACUUGUCUGGCAUUAAGUUGUCGGGCUUGGGAAGCGCAUCGUUUACUGUGAAAAAAUUAGAGUGUUCAAAGCAGGCUUACGCCGUUGAAUACAUUAGCAUGGAAUAAUAAGAUAGGACCUUGGUGCUAUUUUGUUGGUUUGCGUACCGAGGUAAUGAUUAAUAGGGACAGUUGGGGGUAUUUGUAUUCCAUUGUCAGAGGUGAAAUUCUUGGAUUUAUGGAAGACAAACUACUGCGAAAGCAUUUACCAAGGAUGUUUUCAUUAAUCAAGAACGAAAGUUAGGGGAUCGAAGAUGAUUAGAUACCAUCGUAGUCUUAACCAUAAACUAUGCCGACUAGGGAUUGGCGGUCGUUUUAUUGACUCCGUCAGCACCUUAUGAGAAAUCAAAGUCUUUGGGUUCCGGGGGGAGUAUGGUCGCAAGGCUGAAACUUAAAGAA